rnacentral:rRNA from 1 species
CCUACGGGAGGCAGCAGUGAGGAAUAUUGGACAAUGGGCGCAAGCCUGAUCCAGCCAUGCCGCGUGCAGGAAGACGCAUCUAUGGUGUGUAAACUGCUUUUGUACGGGAAGAAACACUCCCUCGUGAGGGAGCUUGACGGUACCGUAAGAAUAAGGAUCGGCUAACUCCGUGCCAGCAGCCGCGGUAAUACGGAGGAUCCAAGCGUUAUCCGGAAUCAUUGGGUUUAAAGGGUCCGUAGGCGGUUUAAUAAGUCAGUGGUGAAAGCCCAUCGCUCAACGAUGGAACGGCCAUUGAUACUGUUAGACUUGAAUUACUAGGAAGUAACUAGAAUAUGUAGUGUAGCGGUGAAAUGCUUAGAUAUUACAUGGAAUACCAAUUGCGAAGGCAGGUUACUACUAGUGGAUUGACGCUGAUGGACGAAAGCGUGGGGAGCGAACAGGAUUAGAUACCCUGGUAGUCCACGCCGUAAACGAUGGAUACUAGCUGUUGGGCGCAAGUUCAGUGGCUAAGCGAAAGUGAUAAGUAUCCCACCUGGGGAGUACGUUCGCAAGAAUUGAAACUUCAAAGGAAUUGACGGNNGAGAGNGCGAGACGACGACGAGGAGGAGG